UGGGAUGUAGCUCAGUUGGUAGAGUGUUUGCCUCGUAUGCACAAGGCCCUGGGUUCAAUCCCCAGCACCACAG
rnacentral:tRNA from 2 species